rnacentral:rRNA from 1 species
CCUACGGGUGGCUGCAGUGGGGAAUAUUGGGCAAUGGGCGCAAGCCUGACCCAGCAACGCCGCGUGAAGGAAGAAGGCUUUCGGGUUGUAAACUUCUUUUCUGAGGGACGAAGCAAGUGACGGUACCUCCGGAAUAAGCCACGGCUAACUACGUGCCAGCAGCCGCGGUAAUACGUAGGUGGCAAGCGUUAUCCGGAUUUAUUGGGUGUAAAGGGCGUGUAGGCGGGAAAGCAAGUCAGAUGUGAAAACGCAGGGCUCAACCCUGAGCCUGCAUUUGAAACUGGUUGUCUUGAGUGCUGGAGAGGCAAUCGGAAUGCGGGGUGUAGCGGUGAAAUGCGUAGAUAUACGGAGGAACACCAGUGGCGAAGGCGGAUUGCUGGACAGUAACUGACGCUGAGGCGCGAAAGCGUGGGGAGCAAACAGGAUUAGAGACCCCGGUAGUC